CCCUUAGAUGUUCUGGGCUGCACGCGUACUACAAUGGAACUCGCAUCGAGUCGCGAAACUGAGAAGUUAAGCGAAUCUUGGAAUGUGUUCCGUGACCGGGACAGUUGAUUGCAAUUAUUCAACUCGAACGAGGAAUUCCUUGUAAUCGUGAUUCAUCAUAUCGCGAUGAAUACGUCCCUGCCCUUUGUACACACCGCCCGUCGCUCCUACCGAUUGAAUGGUCCGGUGAAAUCUUCGGAUCUGAGAGAUGUCUGAUUAAUUUCGGACGCCUUUUGGAAAAGUUGCUUAAACCUUACCAUUUAGAGGAAGGUGAAGUCGUAACA
rnacentral:rRNA from 1 species